rnacentral:misc_RNA from 1 species
GAAACUUUGAUAUUAGUUCCAAUUGUAGCUUAAUUAUGUGGCCAACCAGCCAAAAUAAUCCAAAACAUUGUCUGCAUUACCUGCUUUAGUUUUAAUCCAAACGUAUUACAUAAAUCAAUUUUAGCAAUCAUGCUCAAAUUGCUAAAACAUAUUUAACUAUUGAAUGAAAAUUAGUAUUUUAAUUAGUUUAUAUUUAUAUUACUUUGCUCAUCUCUUUCUUUUCUUCUCCACCCUCCCUGACAUCCCCUCUCCCCAUAACCCACAC